rnacentral:tRNA from 1 species
GUUAGCAUGGUGUAGUGGUUUGGACAUUGGACUACGACUCUGGAGACCAGGGUUCAAAUCCCUGCUUGGCCA